UGCCGAUGACACAACCCAGAGGCUCUAGC
rnacentral:piRNA from 1 species